CAUGCGAUCGCCCGUCGACAUCGGACGCUAUGGCACACUCGUGCCUUAUGUGCCACCGAAGCCCCGAAGUGCUCUGGCAUAUACCUUCACAUGUUUCCCUUCAGUAGGAAAUUGCUGGACAGGCGGACCAGCGCACCGGAAUUGUACUGGCGAAGCCACAAGCAACUCAAAGAAUCUGUUUAAUUGUUGCACUUUGAACAAUCAUGCUUUUACAAAGGCCACAGCAGAAAAACAGCCUGAUGCCGAGUAUUUCUGUGCCACGAAGUAAUCAAGAGAUAUGCAAUGGCAAGCCCUUCCGUGUGUUCCAAAUGUAAAAUUUAAGCUCUAAAUAAAAGAAGACAUUUCUAGUCAGAAGCAAGCAAAAAUGGUGAAUGCAGAAUAUCAGAAGGCCAAGGUAAAGAAAUUAUGAGAAGUGUCGAAUGAUUUUAAUGAAAGAGUCGUAUUUGAAAAUGCAAGACUCUUCAGUGGAGGUCAAGCAAGUCAAUAUAGGUAGAAUACUCUGCAAAAUUAUGCGAGUGAGGGGAUGUCAAACAAUGGGUCAGAAAAUGCGUUGUUUUUCUGCAAAACAAAAGCUGAUUGCCAUUACAUAAGUAACUUUAGCAUCAUGAGACUGCUGCUUGAUAAAUUCAGAAAUAAACCAAAAAAAGAAGACACGCAAAAAAAACAAUUUAAUGAUGCUCUCUCCACACUGGGAUAAAUAAAAACAAACACAUCACAUCUAAUGUGGACAUAUCAGACGCCUUGUGAAACACUAAAGGAAAUAUUCAGUUUCGAGCUAUGGCACUUGCCGCAUAGAUGUGGGGGGCCUUGCACUAAUAGUGAUAGUUACCACUGCAUUUAGAAAUUGAAAGCAUUCAUGCAGACAAGGAUGAUUCUUUAUAUUUUUGGCUACCACUUCAAAUGCCUCCACCAAGUGUUACAAUGCUGCACGCAGCCAUACUAAGGAUC